CUGCCCCUUCCUAUUUAUAGGUGAUUCUUGGUUAUCUGGGAAGGUGCAACAUCAACGAAUCAUAAAUAUGGAAUGGGAGGGAUCUGGAAGAUUUUCUAAUUUGAGUAUAGUAUUGUACUCACAGACGUUAAGGAAUUAGUCCCAUGGUGACCCAGAUAGUUAGUGGCAAAUUAGAGUAGGCCUUGGAUCUCCUGAUUCUUAUAUGAAUUCUUCUGCAUCUUUUUUAGUCCUAUAACAAAUCUCCCACCAGUACUGGUAACAUAAAGUCACUGUGUUUGGUUGAAGGUUUCAUACAUUUUGUUUUUUCCUUCACCCCCUGCCUACAAUUCUCCUACUAGGCCUGUUAUUUGAUGAAGAUGAUAUAAAUAGAAGCAGAGCAGCACAUAGUGUGACCACGAAAGGCCAAAGAGCACAUACUGGAGACCUGAAUGUCAACCAAACUGCAUAAUCCCUGUUUAUCUUCAUUGUAGAAAUUGCCAUAACCAUAGUAUUUGUUUUACUCUGAUGAUCCCAUGGAGUCUCUGCUAUAAGCUACAAGGAAGAUUUUGUGAGUUCAGCCAAGAACGAGAGCUUCGGAGCCUUCAGGAAAAGGCUUGUACUGCAACCUGUUGACUUAUCAAAGCUGAUCUGAUAUUGAUUAGAGCAGGGAUCAGCAAAGGAUGGCCUGCUUCCCCGGAAAGACACUGCCUGUUUUUGUAAAUGUUUUAUUGAAGCACAACAUGUCCACUUACAUUUGUAUUGUCUUUUGUGACUUUUCUUUUGCUAAAAUGGCAGAGCUCAGUAGUUGUGACAGAGAGAAUCUGGCCUGCAAAUUAUUAUUUUUUCUUUUUCUCUUGCCCAUGCUGCAGUGCAGUCACAGCUCACUGCAGCCUUGAACUCCUGGUCUCAAGAGAUCCUCCUGCCUCAGCCUUCUGAGUAGCCAGGAUUGUAGGCACAUGCCAUCAUGCUCAGCUAAUUUUUUAAUUUUUUGUAGAGACUAAAUCUUGCUUUGUUGUCCAGGCUAGUCUUGAACUCCUGGGCUCAAGGUGCUCUCCCACUUCAGCCUCCCAAAGCACCAUUAUUACAGAUGUGAGCCAUUGCUCCUGGCCUGGCCUGCAAAUUCUAAAAUAGUUACUCUCUGAGAUUUUACAGAGAUAAUUUGCUCUCAGAUUCUACCAGUGGAUGGGGCUGGGUUUCUCGUAUUAUUUUAGGUUGAAAACUAGACAGCUUUGUGAAACUGGUAACACAAGAUUCAGCAGCACAAGAAUUAAUU
rnacentral:lncRNA from 1 species